rnacentral:rRNA from 1 species
UACGUAGGGUGCAAGCGUUUGUCCGGAAUUAUUGGGCGUAAAGAGCUCGUAGGCGGUUUGUUGCGUCGGCUGUGAAAUCCCGAGGCUCAACCUCGGGUCUGCAGUCGAUACGAGCAAACUAGAGUGUUGCAGGGGAGACUGGAAUUCCUGGUGUAGCGGUGAAAUGCGCAGAUAUCAGGAGGAACACCGGUGGCGAAGGCGGGACUCUGGGCCGAUACUGACGCUGGAGGAGCGAAAGCGUGGGGAGCAAACAGG